UGGGAGGCUGUCUGUGCAGUAUAUGCAGGGCUGUCUGUGCAGUAUAUUGGGGGGGUCUGCGAAGUAUAAUGGGGGGUCUGCGCAGUAUAUUGGGGGUCUGUGAAGUAUAUUGGGGUGGCCUGUGUGUUAGAUGGAGGGGCUGUUCGUUACAUGUGAGGGGGCAGUGUAUUAUAUUUGGGGGCUGUGCGUUAUAUGGGGAGCUGUACAGUACUUGUGGCCUGUGUGUUAGAUGUGUACAACCCUAGUUUCACAGAAAAAUAUUUAUUUCCUAGAUAUCAAAUGCCAUGGCAUGCUUUUUGCUAUGAAACCGCAGCCAUCUAGUCACUCGCCAGAGAAGGAUGAGAAACUGCACCCCCACCCCAGCGAGAGGGACUGCCCCACAUCUGCAACCAAAUCCGUCGGUCACCAAAUUCAGUAAUCUCCGUCUCUUUGUGCAUUGUGUAUGUAUGGUACUCCCAAUUCUUAUAUUUAAUCCAGUGUGUCUCCCACAAUCUUUGUGUCUGUCUGCUGUAUGUAUGUGGCACGCAAGUCUGCAUGCACUGUGUCUGUUAUGCCAGUUACUCUAACCAGUUUAUUUAUUUUUGUGUGUGUCACAGCUCUGACAAGCAUGUUCUCCUACGGGAC